AAAUUGAAGAGUUUGAUCAUGGCUCAGAUUGAACGCUGGCGGCAGGCCUAACACAUGCAAGUCGAACGGUAACAGGAAGCAGCUUGCUGCUUCGCUGACGAGUGGCGGACGGGUGAGUAAUGUCUGGGAAACUGCCUGAUGGAGGGGGAUAACUACUGGAAACGGUGGCUAAUACCGCAUAACGUCGCAAGACCAAAGAGGGGGACCUUCGGGCCUCUUGCCAUCAGAUGUGCCCAGAUGGGAUUAGCUUGUUGGUGAGGUAACGGCUCACCAAGGCGACGAUCCCUAGCUGGUCUGAGAGGAUGACCAGCCACACUGGAACUGAGACACGGUCCAGACUCCUACGGGAGGCAGCAGUGGGGAAUAUUGCACAAUGGGCGCAAGCCUGAUGCAGCCAUGCCGCGUGUAUGAAGAAGGCCUUCGGGUUGUAAAGUACUUUCAGCGGGGAGGAAGGUGUUGCGGUUAAUAACCGCAGCAAUUGACGUUACCCGCAGAAGAAGCACCGGCUAACUCCGUGCCAGCAGCCGC
rnacentral:rRNA from 1 species